UUGCUCUGGAUUCUGGUUAUGUGGCCUGCAGCACCUAUAAGAACAAGCUCAUCCUGCAUGCCUGCAUUCCAGCUUCUUAGACUCUACACAAGUGGACAGAGUAUCAGUGUUUGGCCACUCUUACAGACACCAACUUCUGUCAACUCACUGCUACUGAUCUGGCACCUCACUCCAGGAAGAGAGAGGGCUGCAAGCCUGUCAUCGUUUCCAGUGUGACUUUGCAUUCUUGGGAUAGCAUCAGAUUUUUCCCACAAAUAUUCAAAGAUUUAGAUGCAGUGACCGGAUGUGCUGCAGCUUUGUUAACUGUUUGGAAAACAUCUGUUUGUGAUGGUAUUUAAAAUUACACUUUAAGGUGACAGUUUCCUUGUAAUUUCAGUCCUUUUUCUAAACAAAAACAAUUUUUAAUUAACAUAUUUUUUAUUUAUUUUUAUCAGCACAUCAUUGGUCAAAGUUAAAAAGAGCCACAUGUUACACCAACAAUGAAUUUUUGACUCUGUUUGUGUCACCAGAUUUAACAAACAAUAUCAGACCUAUGAAAUAAGUAAUUGCACCAUUUUUGGAUAAAUGUGCAAUUAUAUUGUUUUGUAUUUUCAAUUGUUGAAUAAUUAUGUUGUAGAACAAACCCAAUCUGUUUAGCCAAACAACAUAACUUGUUUGGUUAAAUAGUGGAUUUGUAUAAUUUUAGUCUAUAAGUAUAGCAAGCUGAAUUCAUACAAACACACAGCUCUAAAUCUUGAAUUGUAGGAUGCACAAUAAUGAUAAUUUAAUUAUUAUGGACAUUUAAAUCAGAAUCUAUUGAACCAUUACACAUAUUCUUUAUAGAGAUUACACAACCUCAAAAUGCAAAAAAAACAAGAGUGUUUAAGAGGAUAAAUAAAAACAGCUCAAAGUGUGUUUGUAUGAAUACUGCCUUAGUAUGGGGUGUCAGUAAGUACAUGAGUAUAGAAUAGGUGUAACAGUGGUUUUCCACAUCUGGGCUUAGACUGCUCUAAUAUAUAUAGAUAAUGGGUCAGACAUAUAGUUUGACCCAUUAAGUCUAUUUGAAAAGUUUAUGAAGUUCAUGAAGAUCACAUCCAGUCAUAUGUGUUUCUGUUUAUCAUUUUAUGAGGUCACACAGCUGACAUGAGUUUUGAUCACAGUAGAACCAUAACAUUCAUGUUAAUGAGUCUACUGUUUACAGCUACUUUAUGAUAAAUUUUAUCCUGGUCACAGCACUAUGUGAAAAGCUGUAAGAGGUAAAGUUAACCCAAUUAAUACCUCAUCAUAAAUCACUCUCUAACACAGGGCAGUGAUUAUUUUUCAAUGUAAUUUAUUCCACAGCAAUGUUCUUUAUUUGAUCCCUGUUUCUUUAAAUAUGUGCAUCAAUUGUUCAGCUGUGUGACUCUCCAUACCUGAAAUAUAUCACAAUGUGAACUUCAUUUCAACAAUAUUCUGUAGUUUAUCAUCAAAUCAGGAAAGCUAAACUAAAACUAAACUAAAUGAAAAAAAGAAGCUCUUGGGAGUUUUAAUGUAUUUGUAAUGUUGUUUAUCCUUGCCAUACGGGAUGUGCACAAAACUCCAGCAAAUCAGAGAAUAUAUUUUGUCUCUCAUUUCCUGUUUAUAUAUGUAUAUAUUUUUGCAGUUAAUAGCCUAUCAUGUGUCUGCGCAUCUUAGGGCCAUAAAUGUAAACAUGGCAAACAAGGAUGUAUUCACAAUUCCAACGGAUGCUUCAAUUGUUUGUAUAGAUUUUAGAUUAAUUUGUAAUGUAAUUAAUGUAAAUUAAUGUACCUAUGUAAAAAUUGUGUUUCUGUUCUGUGUCCUGUUCUGUUUGUAUGUGUGUGUGUGUGUGUGUGUUUUCUUUUUUUUG